AAUAUUGCGCAAUGGACGAAAGUCUGACGCAUCGACGCCGCAUGGGCUAUGAAUGCCUUCGGGUCGUAAAGCCCUUCUCUGGGGGAAGAGAAAGGACUGUACCCCAGGAAUAAGCCCCGGCUAACUACGUGCCAGCAGCCGCGGUAAAACGUAGGGGGCAAGCGUUAUCCGGAUUUACUGGGCGUAGACAGCGUUGAGGCGGUUUUGUAAGUCGGGCGUGAACGCCCUGGGCUUAACUCAGGGAAGCCGUUCAAUACUGCGAAGCUUGAGGGCAGCAGAGGGAGGUGGAAUUCCCGGAGUAGCGGUGAAAUGCGUAGAUAUCGGGAGGAACACCAGUGGCGAAGGCGGCCUCCUGGGCUGCUCCGGACGCUGAAGGCGAAAGCUAGGGGAGCGAACGGGAUUAGAAACCCCGGUAGCCCUAGCCGUAAACGAUGGAUGCUAGGUGUGGGGGAUGUAGAUUCCCUCCGUGCCGCAGUUAACGCGUUAAGCAUCCCGCAUGGGGAGUACGGCCGCAAGGCUAAAACUCAAACGAAUUGACGGGGGCCCGCACAAGCAGCGGAGCGUGUGGUAUAAUUCGAUGCUACACGAAGAACCUUACCUGGGCUUGACAUACAGGUAGUAGUGAAGUGAAAGCGGAUCGAUCGUUCGGGGAGCCUGUACAGCUGCUGCAUGGCUGUCGUCAGCUCGUGCCGUGAGGUGUCGGGUUAAGUCCCGUAACGAGCGCAACCCUUGCUCUUAGUUAUACGUGUCUAAGAGGACUGCCGGCGGUAAGCCGGAGGAAGGUGGGGAUGACGUCAAGUCAGCAUGGCCUGUAUGUCCAGGGCUACACACACGCUACAAUGGCCGGUACAAUGGGUAGCUAUACCGCGAGGUGGAGCCAAUCCUGUAAGCCGGUCUCAGUUCGAAUUGCAGGCUGCAACUCGCCUGCAUGAAGUCGGAGUUGCUAGUAAUCGCAGGUCAGCUAUACUGCGGUGAAUACGUUCCCGGGCCUUGACACACCGCCCGUCACGUC
rnacentral:rRNA from 1 species